rnacentral:lncRNA from 1 species
UCAGAGUUAUGUUAAGCCGUCAAGAUCGUCGUUAGCCUAAGGCAGAACAUAAGAGCUGAAGUAAAUCAUCGAUGACAUCUAUGAUAAGUUGUCAAAGAUCUGAUAAGUCAUCACACUUCAUCUUUAGCCUAAGGAAAAAAAUAUCAAAAGCGAAGAGGAGUUGAUGACAUCUGUGAUAAGUCAUCAGAAUCCUAAUAAGGCAUCACAAAAUGUCGUCACCUGUCUGAGAAAUUACUAAACUCAGUAAUUUCGUUUCCAUAAUUAGGGUGACUAUUUAAAGUAUUGUUUAGGAUUUUCUUGGGGGCUGG